rnacentral:tRNA from 1 species
CGCGGGGUAGCGCAGUGGCCGUCGCGCCGACUUUGCAGGUCGGAGGACGCCGGUUCGAAUCCGGCCUCCGCUU